rnacentral:rRNA from 1 species
AAGCGGUGGAGGCAUGUGGUUUAAUUCGAAGCAACGCGAAGAACCUUACCAGGUCUUGACAUCCCGAUGCUAUUUCUAGAGAUAGAAAGUUACUUCGGUACAUCGGUGACAGGUGGUGCAUGGUUGUCGUCAGCUCGUGUCGUGAGAUGUUGGGUUAAGUCCCGCAACGAGCGCAACCCCUAUUGUUAGUUGCCAUCAUUCAGUUGGGCACUCUAGCGAGACUGCCGGUAAUAAACCGGA